UGGUGGAGUGAUUUGUCUGGUUAAUUCCGUUAACGAACGAGACCUCGACCUGCUAAAUAGUUCAACAAAUUCUUCGGGAUUUGUGCGUGACUUCUUAGAGGGACUAUCGGUGGGUAGCCGAUGGAAGUUCGAGGCAAUAACA
rnacentral:rRNA from 1 species